UGUCCCAUGGUGUAAUGGUAGCACAACAGGUUUUGGUUCUGUUUGUAGAAGUUCGAAUCUUCUUGGGACAA
rnacentral:tRNA from 3 species